CAAUAGCGUAUAUUAAAGUUGUUGCGGUUAAAAAGCUCGUAGUUGGAUUUCUGCUGAGAACGACCGGUCCGCCCUUUGGGUGUGUAUCUGGCUCUUUCUUGGCAUCUUCUUGGUGAACGUUGCUGCACUUGACUGUGUGGAGCGCUACCCAGGACUUUUACUUUGAGGAAAUUAGAGUGUUUCAAGCAGGCAUACGCCUUGAAUACAUUAGCAUGGAAUAAUAAGAUAGGACCUCGGUUCUAUUUUGUUGGUUUCUAGAGCUGAGGUAAUGAUUAAUAGGGAUAGUUGGGGGCAUUCGUAUUUAACUGUCAGAGGUGAAAUUCUUGGAUUUGUUAAAGACGGACUCCUGCGAAAGCAUUUGCCAAGGAUGUUUUCAUUG
rnacentral:rRNA from 1 species